AGCAGCCGCGGUAAUUCCAGCUCCAAUAGCGUAUAUUAAAGUUGUUGCAGUUAAAAGCUCGUAGUUGAAUUUCGGGGUCAGUAGGUUGGUCAUGCCUCCGGUAUGUACUGGUCUCACUGAUUCCUCCUUCCUAAUGAGCCGUAAUGCCAUUAAUUUGGUGUUGCGGGGAAUCUGGACUGUUACUUUGAAAAAUUAGAGUGUUUAAAGCAAGCUAACGCCUGAAUACAUUAGCGUGGAAUAAUGGAAUAGGACGUUCGAUCCUAUUUUGUUGGUUUCUAGGAUUGACGUAAUGAUUAAUAGGGAUAGUUGGGGGCAUUAGUAUUCAAUUGUCAGAGGUGAAAUUCUUGGAUUUAUUGAAGACUAACUACUGCGAAAGCAUUUGCCAAGGAUGUUUUCAUUAAUCAAGAACGAAAGUUAGGGGAUCGAAGACGAUCAGAUACCGUCGUAGUCUUAACCAUAAACUAUGCCGACUAGGGAUCGGAUGAUGUAAUUUUUAAUGACUCAUUCGGCGCCUUACGGG
rnacentral:rRNA from 1 species